rnacentral:sRNA from 1 species
UAGUUUAUGCUAUAAUAGUAAAGCAAGAAGUUGAGACGGUGGCUAAUCUAAUUAGAUGGAGGUGGUGCUUAUGAUAUACGUAAGCUCUACUGACUUUGAGAGGAGAGGCCUUUUUGUCAGCAUUUGAAACCAUUCAAGUCAUUAUCGCAAUUGGAAGUUAUUCGAUUGCGUUGAUUACU